CAAUAGAUCUGAAGACCAUUGCACAACGAAUACAGAUGGGCUACUAUAAAAGUGUAAACCAUAUGGCUAAAGACAUUGACUUGUUAGUCAAAAAUGCCAAAACCUACAAUGAACCCGGAUCACAAGUAUUUAAAGAUGCAAACACCAUCAAAAAGAUUUUUUCACAAAGAAAACUGGAGCUUGAACAUUCUGAACCUAUUAAAAGCAGCAUCAGGAUCAGGUAAAUUAUGU